UACGGAAGGCAGCAGUGGGGAAUAUUGCACAAUGGGCGAAAGCCUGAUGCAGCUAUGCCGCGUGUAUGAAGAAGGCCUUAGGGUUGUAAAGUACUUUCAUCGGGGAGGAAAAACAAAACUAAUAAUUUUAUUUCUUGACGUUACCCGAAAAAGAAGCACCGGCUAACUCCGUGCCAGCAGCCGCGGUAAUACGGAGGGUGCUAGCGUUAAUCAGAAUUACUGGGCGUAAAGAGCACGUAGGUGGUUUUUUUAAGUCAGAUGUGAAAUCCCUGGGCUUAACCUAGGAACUGCAUUUUGAAACUGAAAUACUAGAGUAUCGUAGAGGGAGGUAGAAUUCUAGGUGUAGCGGUGAAAUGCGUAGAUAUCUGGAGGAUACCUGUGGCGAAAGCGGCCUCCUAAACGAAUACUGACACUGAGGUGCGAAAGCGUGGGGAGCAAACAGGGAUUAGAUACCCGU
rnacentral:rRNA from 1 species